GCGACGUCGACGGUUUACCAUUCGGUC
rnacentral:sRNA from 1 species